CUCUGUCUCUCACUCUGCCAAGAUUCAUCUUAAACACUUCUCUUUCAACUGCUGCUGUGUCCACAGUGUUUGCUCUACAACCAUCAUUUUACCCUCAAAACGUCACCAUCGUUGUUCUCUUUCCAACAGAGUGUCUUUGAAAGCUCAGAUAUGUAAAGUUUUUAAACUGUGUGGAUCCAAGUGGAGGGAUCACAUUUUAGUCAUUCAGUGAUUCAAAGAAUAUGAACUUUUAAUAUUCAUUCAGAUGUUUUCUGACUCUAAAUAGUCUUUUGUCAUUUCUUAUGUUUUUCUAAUUUACAUUUAAAACAUUUUCAGCUCUUUUCCAACUUCUUCUCUGUGGUUGUCAGCUUUUAGCAGUUCAGCUUUUUUGUUUUCAGGUGAAAAUUUCUGUAUUUUUCAUCUCAUUCAACAUUUUUAACUUAAAAUUCAGCAAUUAAUUCUUUUCAGUGCAUAUAUUCAGAUUCAAGCAUUCACA
ensembl:lncRNA